CCGCGGUAAUACCAGCUCUCCGAGUGGUGGGGAUGUUUAUUGGGCCUAAAGCAUUCGUAGCCUGCUUGGCAAGUCCUCCGUUAAAUCCAACGAUUCAAUCGUUGGGCUGCGGGGGAUACUGUCCGGCUAGGGGGCGGGAGAGGCCGACGGUAUCCCCGGGGUAGGGGUGAAAUCCUAUAAUCCCGGGAGGACCACCAGUGGCGAAGGCUGUCGGCUAGAACGUGCUCGACGGUGAGGGAUGAAAGCUGGGGGAGCGAACCGGAUUAGAUACCCGGGUAGUCCCAGCUGUAAACGAUGCAGGCUAGGUGUUGGCGCGGCUACGUGCCGCUCCAGUGCCGCAGGGAAGCCGUUAAGCCUGCCGCCUGGGAAGUACGGCCGCAAGGCUGAAACUUAAAGGAAUUGGCG
rnacentral:rRNA from 1 species